CAGAGUUGUAGACAAUCUUUUGAAACAGUGGCUGCCCUACUUCUAAAUAAGAUAGAAACAACACAUUUUACUGUACCAGCUGGUGGAAUCCAAGAUUCACAUAUUGCUGGAAGAUUGCAAGCUAUCACCUACUGAGACGACCCUAAAGGAGUGAAUGAAAAUCACUGAGAAAGGCAAGGAUGGCAAUGGAUAGAAAUGUAUCAAAAGAAGAAGAGGAACAUAGUGCAAAAAAUGGGGAUACAAG